UACGAAGGGUGCAAGCGUUACUCGGAAUUACUGGGCGUAAAGCGUGCGUAGGUGGUUCGUUAAGUCUGUCGUGAAAGCCCCGGGCUCAACCUGGGAAUGGCGAUGGAUACUGGCGGGCUAGAGUGCGGUAGAGGGUGGUGGAAUUCCCGGUGUAGCAGUGAAAUGCGUAGAGAUCGGGAGGAACAUCAGUUGCGAAGGCGGCCACCUGGGCCAGCACUGACACUGAGGCACGAAAGCGUGGGGAGCAAACAGG
rnacentral:rRNA from 1 species